rnacentral:tRNA from 1 species
GGUUGUGGCUCAGUGGUAGAGCGCUCACCUGGCACGUGUGACACCCUGGGUUCGAUCCUCAGCACAAUCA